rnacentral:rRNA from 1 species
UACGUAGGGCGCAAGCGUUGUCCGGAAUUAUUGGGCGUAAAGAGCUCGUAGGCGGUUUGUCGCGUCUGUCGUGAAAGCUUGGGGCUUAACCCCAAGUCUGCGGUGGAUACGGGCAGACUAGAGGCAGGUAGGGGAGAACGGAAUUCCCGGUGUAGCGGUGAAAUGCGCAGAUAUCGGGAGGAACACCGGUGGCGAAGGCGGUUCUCUGGGCCUGUACUGACGCUGAGGUGCGAAAGCGUGGGGAGCAAACAGG